rnacentral:lncRNA from 1 species
GGCAAGUCUGACCGACCUCUGGACUACUUGUGCAGCCUUUGUGGUGGGUUGCCAAUUGUGGUUAGGGGCAUUCAGAGUUUGCAGGACCAGCGAGGACUUUUUGUGUCCUGCUGCUGCCACUGAAACUUUCACCUUCGUCGAGUGAGAACAUCCAUCCUCCUCCUGCCUUUGUUACUGCAGCAGCUUUUUGAAGUAGAACCAUUU